CAACAAUAAUAAUAAAAAUAAAAACAGUUCCCAAACUUGUUUGAGUUGCACUGUCCUUAGAGUAAUUGUCCCCCAUGGUGACCUUAGGCCAAUGCCCAUCUAUGAAGUGCCGUGAUCUAAGCAGCCUCUGAGAGCUGUUGACCUGGCAGAUUGGCAGUUGCAUGGAGAUUCCUCACAGAAAAGAAUCCUUGGGACCUGCACAGAUCCUCACACGGCACACUCAGAUCAUAUGCCACCUCAUUUCCCUUCUACACUGGCUUGGGGUGGUAAUUGCUGUCUAUUCCUGGGAAUGAUGUCAGGCGGGAGGAAGCGUGCUCUAUUGCUGAAGCCGAACACACUGAGAUGCCAACGCGUUUCUUCCGAGAUGCUGGGACAUGGUCCUAGGAACCCGCAACCAGGCAAUUCAGAAGAACCUGGGGACCCUGAGCUGAGGCACCUGGUCUUCAAUGGGAAAACAUCGCUGGCAUCAGAGACAAAACUGGAUUGCUUUGGUCUUGCCCACACUUGCCACUGUGAAUGACAUGGUGUUUUGCUGCAGUUUGGAAAGCUGACUGACACACAAGACACAUUUGGUCAAAUGCAUCACCGCUGCAGGUUGCCUCAGCUCAGGCCCUCAAGAGAAAACACAGGGACGGUGCAGCUGGAGACACAGCAGCUGGGUUUCCUUAGCAACUCCCAUCACUCACUGGGGGAAGAAGGCAAGAAGUCCUCAGGUGGCUGCGUGAAUCUCCCGGAUAACUCCAGUUUCCCAUGUGCCACCGUCUCCACAGACAGCGGAAGACACAACGGUUCAGAAAGUCCCAAGUCAUAGAGCUGGAAGCCAGCAAUGCCAGCUGCGUGAUGAGAAACAGUGGCCAGCUAUCUCCCUUGGUCCUCUUCUCCCUUGCUGGGACUCUGACAUCAAUACUCACACUGAAAAUACUUAUUUCCCAGCAACUGUCUUUCUUGACUGGUGAAACCUGAAGGGAAAUCUCACAAGAAGUUUCUAGAAUAGUGUUCAUUGAAAUUGUUUUUGUAAGAGUUAUGUUUUAAGGAUGCCUCUCCCCCAGCCGGGCGUUGGUGGCUCGAGCCUUUAAUCCCAGCACUCGGGAGGCAGAGGCAGGCGGAUCUCUGUGAG